rnacentral:rRNA from 1 species
GGCGGACGGGUGAGUAACGCGUAAGAAUCUAACUUCNGGACGGGGACAACAGUUGGAAACGACUGCUAAUACCCGAUGUGCCGCANGGUGAAAACUAAUUGGCCUGAAGAAGAGCUUGCGUCUGAUUAGCUAGUUGGUGGGGUAAGAGCCUACCAAGGCGACGAUCAGUAGCUGGUCUGAGAGGAUGAGCAGCCACACUGGGACUGAGACACGGCCCAGACUCCUACGGGAGGCAGCAGUGGGGAAUUUUCCGCAAUGGGCGAAAGCCUGACGGAGCAACGCCGCGUGAGGGAGGAAGGUCUUUGGAUUGUAAACCUCUUUUCUCAAGGAAGAAGUUCUGACGGUACUUGAGGAAUCAGCCUCGGCUAACUCCGUGCCAGCAGCCGCGGUAAUACNGGGGAGGCAAGCGUUAUCCGGAAUUAUUGGGCGUAAAGCGUCCGCAGGUGGUCAGCCAAGUCUGCCGUCAAAUCANGUUGCUUAACGACCUAAAGGCGGUGGAAACUGGCAGACUANAGAGCANUAGGGGUAGCAGGAAUUCCCAGUGUAGCGGUGAAAUGCGUAGAGAUUGGGAAGAACAUCGGUGGCGAAAAGCGUGCUACUGGGCUGUAUCUGACACUCAGGGACNAAAGCUAGGGGAGCGAAAGGNAUUAGAUACCCCUGUAGUCCUAGCCGUAAACGAUGGAUACUAGGCGUGGCUUGUAUCGACCCGANCCGUGCCGAANCUAACGCGUUANNAUCCCGCCUGGGGAGUACGCACGCANGUG